rnacentral:rRNA from 1 species
ACGGAAUAGAUACCCGGGUAGUCCACGCCCUAAACGAUGUCUACUAGUUGUUGGGAGAGUAAAAUCUCUUAGUAAACGCAGCUAAACGCGUGAAAGUAGACCGCCUGGGGAGUACGGUCGCAAGAUUAAAACUCAAAGGAAUUGACGGGGCCGCACAAGCGGUGGAUUAUGUGGAUUAAUUACGAUGCAACGCGAAAACCUUACCUGGCCUUGACAUGCUACUAACGAAGCAGAGAUGCAUUAGGUGCCCGAAAGGGAAAGGUAGACACAGGUGGCUGCAUGGCUGUCGUCAGCUCGUGUCGUGAGAUGUUGGGUUAAGUCCCGCAACGAGCGCAACCCUUGCCAAUAAUUGCC